GGGCUCGUAGCUCAGUGGAAGAGCACUAUCCUGAUAAGAUAGGGGGCGUUGGUUCAAGUCCAACCGAGCCCAC
rnacentral:tRNA from 1 species